CUACGGGGGGCAGCAGUCGGGAAAAUUUUGCAAUGCGCGAAAGCGUGACAAAGCGAGCCAGAGUGUUUCUCUUAUUUGAGAAACUUUUGUCAGCUGCAAAAAGGCUGAUGAAUAAGGACUGGGCAAGACCGGUGCCAGCCGCCGCGGUAAUACCGGCGGUCCAAGUCGCAGCCAUCAUUAUUGGGUCUAAAACAUCCGUAGCUUGUUCUGUAAGUCUCUUGUGAAAUCUUAUAUCUCAAGUAUAAGGCGGGCAAGAGAUACUGCAUUACUAGGGACUGGAAGACGUAGCGAGUACAAUUGAGGUAGUGGUAAAAUACGUUAAUCUUAAUUGGACUAACAACGGCGAAGGCACGCUACGAGGACAGAUCUGACAGUGAGGGAUGAAGGCCAGGGGCGCGAAAGGGAUUAGAUACCCCCGUAGUC
rnacentral:rRNA from 1 species